AUGGGGAGAAUGGAUGUUUGCUGUGCUUACUUCGACCCGGAUUAUGAGAACCUCAACGAGAGGAUUUAUGGGACAAGGGUUAAUGUGGACAACGAGUCAUGUGGUAAAUGUACUGUUGUUAACGUGAACAGUCGAAAUGACCAUGACCUCCUUCUUGAAGUGCUCCAAGUUUUGAUUGGCCUCGAGCUGUCGAUCGCAAAAUGUUACAUAUCAUCUGACGGCGGAUGGUUUAUGGACGUUUUCCAUGUGAGAGAUCAGGAAGGAAACAAGGUUUACAGUAAGAAGGCCAUAAACUAUAUAGAGCAGGCAAUAUGUACUAGAGAUCCUCGGAGGUUCACAGUGACGAGAUUGAAUGAGCUUGCGUCUAGACCUGAUGUUGCCGCACACUAUACGGGAAUUGAGAUGAUUGGCCACAACCGGCCUGGAAUUUUCUCUGAGAUAUCUGCUGUUCUUGCAGAGCAUGGGUGUAGUGUUAUGGAAGCGCAUGCUUGGAGCCACAAGGAUAGCUUAGCCUGUGUUGCAUUUGUGUCUGAUGAAUCAACAUCAUCCCGCAUCAGUGAUCCAAACCGCUUAGCCUCUAUUCAGGACCAUCUUGGAACUGUUCUUGGACCUGGUACCUCAAUGGAUGAAGAUGGGCGUAGCGCAAGAGCUCAUCUGCUUGGGCCUGAUGGCCUGACAAGCCAUCCCGAGCGUCGGUUGCACCAGCUAAUGUUUGCUAGUAAAGACUUUGAUGGACAACCAGGACAGGUAUCUACUGCCUUCCCAAUGCUUAGUUUGGAUGGCUACAAAAAGGGCACGGGGGCAGUGGUCUCUGUUGAUCGGUGCAAUGACAAAGGAUACUCGGUCGUAAAUGUGGAAUGUGUGGACCGGCCGAAGUUGAUGUUUGACACUGUGUGCACGCUUACGGACAUGCAAUUUAAUGUUUUCCAUGCCUCGGUUUCUUCCCGUGGGCCUUUUGCCUGUCAGGAGUACUACAUCAGGCACAGGGAUGGACAUAUGCUAGACACUCUGGAUGAAAGAUGCUUAGUUGUGAAAGGUGUUAAAGCUGCAGUCGAGCGUCGAACUUGUGAGGGUGUGAAGCUGGAGCUAUGCACGGAGAAUACUGCCGGUCUCCUCUCUUACAUCACUAGGGUCCUCCGGGAGAACGGGUUAACUGUUACACAGGCAGACAUCGCAAUGGACGGGGACAAGAUGAAGAACACAUUCUACGUCCAAGGCAUCUCAGACAACAAGAUUGACAUGGACGUCGUCGAGUCUGUCAGGAGAGAGCUCGAUCCCCUGCCCUUCCAGGUGAAGGAUGAUGAGCUUCUGUCCCGGGGGCAAUUGGAAGGCGAACCGGUGGCCGACAGAAAUGGCUUCUGCAUCCUUAGCCUGCUGAGGUCCAAGAUAGAGAGACUGUCUCAUGGUUUCAUCUCCUCAGGGUAG
rnacentral:rRNA from 1 species